GAUGAACGCUAGCGGCAGGCUUAACACAUGCAAGUCGAGGGGUAACAGGGAGGAGCUUGCUUUUCCGCUGACGACCGGCGCACGGGUGCGUAACGCGUAUAGAACCUACCUUUUACAGGGGAAUAGCCCAGAGAAAUUUGGAUUAAUGCCCCAUAGUAUUAUUGAAUGGCAUCAUUUAAUAAUUAAACAUUUAUGGGUAAAAGAUGGCUAUGCGUUCUAUUAGCUAGAUGGUAAGGUAACGGCUUACCAUGGCAACGAUAGAUAGGGGUCCUGAGAGGGAGAUCCCCCACACUGGUACUGAGACACGGACCAGACUCCUACGGGAGGCAGCAGUGAGGAAUAUUGGACAAUGGAGGCAACUCUGAUCCAGCCAUGCCGCGUGCAGGAAGACGGUCCUAUGGAUUGUAAACUGCUUUUAUAUAGGAAGAAACCUUUCCACGUGUGGAAAGCUGACGGUACUAUAAGAAUAAGCACCGGCUAACUCCGUGCCAGCAGCCGCGGUAAUACGGAGGGUGCAAGCGUUAUCCGGAAUCAUUGGGUUUAAAGGGUCCGUAGGCGGACUAAUAAGUCAGGGGUGAAAUCCAACAGCUUAACUGUUGAACUGCCUUUGAUACUGUUAGUCUUGAGUUAUAUGGAAGUAGAUAGAAUAUGUAGUGUAGCGGUGAAAUGCUUAGAGAUUACAUAGAAUACCGAUUGCGAAGGCAGUCUACUACGUAUAUACUGAC
rnacentral:rRNA from 1 species